rnacentral:lncRNA from 1 species
UCUCUACAAUUCUCUUCAAACACCAACAAUGGUUCAACCUUUGAGCCAUAUCUCCAUCUUUAUAUUAAUCAUAAUUUCCUAUCUUACUAUAUUGAGUGAUGGGGGAGUAGUAUUUUUUCCUAUUAGACAUGUUCACAUUAAGAAUAAUUUGGGUGAAGGAAUAAAUCUUCAAGUUCAUUGUAAAUCAAAAGAUGAUGAUCUUGGUAUUCAUAAUGUCACAUAUGGUGCUGAUUAUGAGUUUCAAUUUCGGGUAAAUGCUUUUGGAACUACACAAUUUUUCUGUGGAUUAGUAUGGAAUGAUAAACUACACUAUGUUGAUGUUUAUGUUCAUGAAAGGGAUAAGAGAAGGUGUGGCCCUGAUUGCUUCUGGACUAUAAAUCAAAAUCAAGCAUGUUUGUAUGAUUUUAAACCACGUAUUCAAAAUUGUACUGACUAUAAAUGAAAAUUUUAUCUUAUAAUGUAAUAAAUAAAAUAAUAAUGUCUCUAUUAAUUUUUAUAAUAUAAAAUAUUAAUAGAGUGGAAAUAAUGGAAUGGAGAUAUUACUUCAUUAUUUGAAUUUCUGAAAUUUCUUUAUCACUACAUUUAUUAUAGUGCCUUUUGAAUUUAUGUUAUGUUGUGAGAUUCAAUGGAGUAUCUUCUCCAAAGUGUGGAUACUUCAAAACUUUAAUGGAAGUACUCUUAUUUUGUAACUGUUAUUGAGAAAAUAAUUACAUUCACAUUCUAUAUAUUAAACUAGCAAAUUGUCCGUGUAUUUAUACAAACGGUAUUUUUUGUUGCAUAGCAAAGAACGCAUAUAUGAUAUGUGCAUUCACAUGCAUGUUAUUCGUAUAUUUGUAUGAUUAAAAAUAUAUAUGUUACUCGUGUAUUCAUACUGUUAAAAACAAACAUGUGACUCGUACAUUUUAAUGAUUAUAUGUUAUCCAUACAUUCGUAAUACUAAGAAAAUACAUAUUACUCAUACUUAUGUAUAGUUAAAAUACAUGUUAUUCGUAUAUUCACAUUAUUAAAAACAUACGUGUUACCCGUAUUACUAAUGCAAGUCCAAUUUUAUAUAAUGAUUACAUUUUUAUCAAUAAAACUAUUCAACUUCAAUGACUGAUAUUAAUUAUAUUCUUUAGACAAAGUACAUGAGUCUAAAGAAUAGUGUCAACCUUCAUGAUAUUAUAUUUUGGUGAACUUUUUCAAUAUGUUGUUUUGAAUGAAAUUGAACACAAUUAAUUAUCAAAAAAUAUAUACAUGAUGAGCAUUGAAUGAAAUUGAACACAAUUCAUUAUCAAAAAAUAUAUACAUGAUGAGCAUUGUCUCAAAUUUAUACCCAUAACGAGUAUUGAUAGAAAUUAAGCAAUCUGAAAUAAAUCAAACAAUAUAUAUAAAACAAAUCAAUUGAUUAUGACAAUCAAAUCAAAUAUAUUAUUUUUUAAGCCAUAAAUACAGGUAGAAGAUUAUUAUGAUUGUAAAAUAAAAAUAACAUUAGUAGAGGUAGGCUGCAAAUUUUGUUCCUUUAUACAAAUGUAACUCUUUUACCACAAUAAAAUCAAUUAUCAAAGAUGUUACUCAUUUAGACAACUUCUUUCUUCUUUUUUGUGAUUUGAACAAAUUCGUAAAUAAAGAAGAAAAAUAUUAAUAUACAUAGUUGCAAUAAUAAAAAAUAUUAUUAUCUAAUGGAUAUAAUAUUUUUAUCUUCAACCCUAUUCAUUAAUUUUAUUUUUAAGUGACACAGAAUAUCAAAAUAUUUUCUUUUUAAUUGUAACAUCAUAACUCAUUUAUUAGUAAUAGGAAUAAAUUCCUACUAUUAAAGCUUUAAAAAAUUAAGUAAUAUUAAUUGAGAGAGUUUUAAGAUUUACUUAAAUAAUUAGUAUUAAAAAUGAUUAUUUUGAAAUAAAUUCAUUGUCUAUUAUUUUUCAAGCGAUAUAGAAUAUCAACAAAAUUUUUUAUUAUCUGUAAUAUCAUAACUCAUUCUAUUAAUAAUAAGAAUGAAUUCCUACUACUUAAGUUUUAAAAAUGAUUAAAUGAUAUUAAUUGAUAACAUUUUAAGAUCUAUUAUUUGUUAGCUAAUCAUGGAAUUUAAUCUAGGACUUUUACUUUGUGGGUUUUAAUUUCUAGACUAAUCUUUCUUGAUUGUAAUGGAAAUUGGUUGGGGCUACCUAACUAUAGACUUGUUCUUUUAUUAAUCAAUUUCUUUGGGGUGCUUUAGCAUCCAAGCUUCAAGAAAAAAAUUUUAAGAUCUACUAUUUAAAUGUAAUUAUUACAUAUUCUAUUUAGCGUUUUAAAAUUAAAAAAUAAUUAGAUGAUAUUAAUUGAGAAUCUUUUAAUAAGAUUGAAUUCCAACUAUUUAAGUUUUAAAAAUAAUUAAAUAAUAUUAAUGGAGAAAAUUUUAAUAUCUAUUUAAAUAAUUAAAAUUGAUUAUUUUUUGAAAUAAAUUUAUUGUCUUUUAUUUCUUUAGUGAGAUAGAAUAUCAACAUAAUUCUUUAUGAAUUAUAAUAUCAUAGCUCAUUCUACUGAUAAUAAAAAAGAUUCCUACUAUUUAAGUUUUAAAAAAUAAUAUUAAUUGAGAACGUUUUAAGAUCUACUAUUUAAAUAUAAUUACUACAUAUUCUAUUUAGAAUUUUAAAAUUUAAAGAACGAUUAGAUGAUAUUAAUUGAGAAUGUUUUAAUAAGAUUGAAUUCUUACUAUUUAAGUUUUAAAAAUAAUUAAAUAAUACUAAUUAAAAACAUUCUAAGAUCUAUUUAAAUAAUUUGUAUUAAAAAUGAUUAUUUUGAAAUAAAUUCAUUGUCUAUUAUUUUUUAAGCGAUAUAGAAUGUCAACAGAUUUCCUAAUUAAUUGUAAUAUCAUAGCUCAUUCUACUAAUAAUAAUAAUGACUUACUACUAUUAAAUUUUUUGAAAAUGAUUAAAUGAUAUUAAUUGUGAAUGUUUUAAGAUCUACUAUUUAAAAAUGAGUAAUUACUACAUAUUAUAUUUAGAAUUUUAAAUUUUAAAAAUGAUUAGAUGAUAUUUGUUAGGUAUGAGUGGCCUAGGCACACCUAGAAGAGAUUGAAUAGGUGUAGCGGUUAUCAAUCAUCGCUUCUCGCACCAAAACUCAGUUCUGGAAACAGCUCAGUUAAUCGAUUAACAACAGGUCUUAAUCGAUUAACACAUACACAUAACAGAAUGAUCCAGAAUGAUCAGAGGCUAAUUGCACAGUUAUUUAUAACUAGAUAAGCACAAAUAAAGCAGAUAUUUUUAGGCAAUAUUAACAAGUAUAUGGCAGGGUACAAUCAUGUAAAAUAUCAGCUUCUAACUCGCAUUAAAACAUCAAGAAAUGUAAAGAAGAUUAAGAGAGAACAACGUGCAAAGAUGGAUUUUUAUCUUGAUUCGUUUGCGGUCCACUGCAAACUACAUCCAGGCCUCCCCUUAUGAUCUUGAGAGAUUUUCUUCUUCACUAUAUUGAAUACAAGUAUAAUCACAUACACCAAUUCAAUUUACAAAACAUAGGACGCUUCUUUCUUGAAAUCUAGAACAUCUAAUCUUUGGUUUGACUCUACCUAUCGCCUGAGAAAACCUUUCUCGCGAACCAGCCCCAACCAAGAUUCUCGUUCUCAAAUUAAGACCUCCCAGUCUUGGUGAAUAAACACUCUAUCUUUGUGGUGGUAAGACACCAAGAGAUCAAUUCAAUACACACAAAAACAUAUUACAAAAGCAAUGUAUUAUAAGCACAAUAAUGCUUGAAAUAUAACAAUGAAAGACCUUAAGAUUAACUCACUCACAAUUCACUCAAGUCAUCGUAUACAUGUGAGUUAAUCAAAAACAGUAAUCACAAGAUAUCUCUCUAAGAAUCUUUAUCAAUAAUGCAUGAACAUGUGAACAAGAUAAGGAUGAGACUAAGCAUAUGAAAAACAUUAUGCAAAUAACAAAGAAUCAAUAUUCAAUAUGGCAUGUUAAUCUCUCUUCCUCACACAUGCAAUUCUCUCUUCAAAACAUAAUGUAAAACACAAAAUAUACUCUCUAGAUCAAUCCUAUAUAAUAGAAUGCAAUGCUACACUUUUUUGGAAAUUGCCUAAACUUAUACAAAGCAGUUUUGACAGUUCAAACUGUUGCAAUCAGUUAAACAGUUAAAACAGAAAAUAGUUAUAACACAAAACAGACUUGUCAAUUGAUUAAGGUACUACGUUAAUCAAUGAACCAGUGCAACAUGACUCAUGUUGUAUAUUUUAAUUCUUUUUCAUAUGAGUCAAGAAAUGAUCUUAGUCAUUCAUGAUAUUGCUUCCAUUUCCUGAGGUGGGAAAGAUGAUUAACAACUAGUAUUUUAUCUUUUCUCUCAAUUUUUGAUUUAUCUAAAAUUAUUAAUAAAAUAUAGUUUAAUAAUGUGUAAAUAAUAAUAUAUCUAAAGUAUUUAAUAUUUGCAAUAAUGAAUAGCUAAAGAGUAAUUAAUGCAACCAUUUAAUAAAAAUGUUUAAUAUAUAUAGUUAAUAAUAUUUAACACUUAAGUUAUAUGAAGUCUUUUUUAAAAUGAAUAAAUACAAAUUUGAAUAUCGGGUACUAAAUAAAAAAGUCCUAGUAAUAAUGAGUUAUCUAUAGUAUAUAUAAGGGAAACAUACUACAUAUACAGGGAAAAUAUGGAAUAAUUAUCAUGGUGUAAUUUCAUUUUUCUAUUUUCCCAUUAAAUUUUUUAAUUUUUAUAAAAGAAUCAUAUAAUUAUAUGUAACCACUACCAAUGAAUUAAUCAUCUUUCUAGCAUUAUAAUAAAACAAAAUCUUAUAAUAUAAAGCAUUCCAAUAAAAAAUACAAUAUAAAGUGUACAACACAAAAAUAUUAUAAUUCUAUAUAUAAAGGGAAACAUAAAGUAACUAUCAUUAUGUAAUUUCACUUUUUUAUUUUGCCCUUAAACUUUUUAAUUUUUACAAAAAACCAUAUAAUUAUAUGUAACUACCACCAAUAUAUUAAUCAUCUCUCUAGCAUUAUAAUAAAACAACAUUAUAAUAUAAAGUAUCCCAAUAAAAAAUACAAUAUAAAGUAUACAAUAUAAAAAUAUUCUAAUUCUCCAAAAUAAAAUAUAUAUAAUUUGAAUUGACAUCGUAAAAGUAUAAAUCUGGACUGGCAGACAUAAAGUAUCUAUUACCACUAGUAUUAAUAAAUCAACAACACUAAAUAAAAAUAUUUAUAAUAAUCAACAAUUAAUAAUGAAUAUCUAAACCAAAAAAUAAAAUCAUUUUUUAAUAUUAAUUUCAAAUAUAAUGAUCAUUCUAAAAAGGAAUUACCUUAAGGAUAAAAGAAUGGUUGUGACUUCUAUUGUAUAUUCUUUUCAUAUUCAAGUUAAGAGGAGAUCGCAGUCGCUAAAAUUGUAUUUUCCAUCAAAAUGGAAUGGUGACUUACGACUAAUUUUGUCUCUUUUCUCCUAAUAUCUUUUUUAAAUUACAAUUAUUUUAAAUUUUGUCUUUCUUAAUUUAAAUUUUUGUAUUUUUAAUUGAAACUACUUGUUUAAUCAUUUUGAAAUCACCUUUUAAUUAAACAAUUAUUUUAAAAUAAUAUUUUUAAUUGAUUAAUCCAAAUUAUAUUUUAAAAUAAUUUUUAAUAUCUUUAUUUGUGCUCUGGGUGUGAAAAAGUUGUGGUUAUUAAGACCACAUAUUGCAACUGUAAUUGAAAAAACAUUAAAAAAAUAGUAUUUAUUUUUUACUUGUUCAAUUUUUUGUUUGUAGAACGGGUGGAAUAUAUAUAUAUGUAUAGUGGUGCAUGUUCUCAAAUAAGUAAUCAUUCCAUCUUUAGAAUUUUCACCUUCAAACACCAACAAUGUUUCAACCUACCAGCCAUAUCUCCAUCUUCAUAUUAAUCCUAAUUUCCUAUCUUACUAUAUUAAGUGAGGGAAAAAUACUCUUUUUUCCUAUUAGACAUGUUCACAUUAAGAAUAAUUUGGGUGAAGGAAUAAAUCUUCAAGUUCAUUGUAAAUCAAGAGAUGAUGAUCUUGGUAUUCAUAAUGUCACAUAUGGUUUUGAUUAUGAGUUUCAAUUUCGGGUAAAUAUUUUUGGAACUACACAAUUUUUCUGUGGAUUAGUAUGGAAUGGUAAACUACACUAUGUUGAUGCAUAUAUUCAUCAAAGGGAUAGGAGAAGGUGUGGUCCUGAUUGCUUCUGGACUAUAAAUCAAGAUCAAGCAUGUUUGUAUGAUUUUCAUUCACGUACUCAAGAUUGUACUGACUAUAAAUGAAAAUUUUAUCUUUUAAUGUAAUAAAUAAAAUAAUAAUAUCUCUAUUAAUUUUAUAGUAUAAAAAUAUUAAUAGAGUGGAAAUAAUGGAAUGGAGAUAUUACUUCAUUAUUUG